UUAAGCGACUAAGCGUACACGGUGGAUGCCCUGGCAGUCAGAGGCGAUGAAGGACGUGCUAAUCUGCGAUAAGCGUCGGUAAGGUGAUAUGAACCGUUAUAACCGGCGAUUUCCGAAUGGGGAAACCCAGUGUGUUUCGACACACUAUCAUUAACUGAAUCCAUAGGUUAAUGAGGCGAACCGGGGGAACUGAAACAUCUAAGUACCCCGAGGAAAAGAAAUCAACCGAGAUUCCCCCAGUAGCGGCGAGCGAACGGGGAGCAGCCCAGAGCCUGAAUCAGUGUGUGUGUUAGUGGAAGCGUCUGGAAAGGCGCGCGAUACAGGGUGACAGCCCCGUACACAAAAAUACACAUAUUGUGAGCUCGAUGAGUAGGGCGGGACACGUGGUAUCCUGUCUGAAUAUGGGGGGACCAUCCUCCAAGGCUAAAUACUCCUGACUGACCGAUAGUGAACCAGUACCGUGAGGGAAAGGCGAAAAGAACCCCGGCGAGGGGAGUGAAAAAGAACCUGAAACCGUGUACGUACAAGCAGUGGGAGCACGCUUAGGCGUGUGACUGCGUACCUUUUGUAUAAUGGGUCAGCGACUUAUAUUCUGUAGCAAGGUUAACCGAAUAGGGGAGCCGAAGGGAAACCGAGUCUUAACUGGGCGUUAAGUUGCAGGGUAUAGACCCGAAACCCGGUGAUCUAGCCAUGGGCAGGUUGAAGGUUGGGUAACACUAACUGGAGGACCGAACCGACUAAUGUUGAAAAAUUAGCGGAUGACUUGUGGCUGGGGGUGAAAGGCCAAUCAAACCGGGAGAUAGCUGGUUCUCCCCGAAAGCUAUUUAGGUAGCGCCUCGUGAAUUCAUCUCCGGGGGUAGAGCACUGUUUCGGCAAGGGGGUCAUCCCGACUUACCAACCCGAUGCAAACUGCGAAUACCGGAGAAUGUUAUCACGGGAGACACACGGCGGGUGCUAACGUCCGUCGUGAAGAGGGAAACAACCCAGACCGCCAGCUAAGGUCCCAAAGUCAUGGUUAAGUGGGAAACGAUGUGGGAAGGCCCAGACAGCCAGGAUGUUGGCUUAGAAGCAGCCAUCAUUUAAAGAAAGCGUAAUAGCUCACUGGUCGAGUCGGCCUGCGCGGAAGAUGUAACGGGGCUAAACCAUGCACCGAAGCUGCGGCAGCGACGCUUAUGCGUUGUUGGGUAGGGGAGCGUUCUGUAAGCCUGCGAAGGUGUGCUGUGAGGCAUGCUGGAGGUAUCAGAAGUGCGAAUGCUGACAUAAGUAACGAUAAAGCGGGUGAAAAGCCCGCUCGCCGGAAGACCAAGGGUUCCUGUCCAACGUUAAUCGGGGCAGGGUGAGUCGACCCCUAAGGCGAGGCCGAAAGGCGUAGUCGAUGGGAAACAGGUUAAUAUUCCUGUACUUGGUGUUACUGCGAAGGGGGGACGGAGAAGGCUAUGUUGGCCGGGCGACGGUUGUCCCGGUUUAAGCGUGUAGGCUGGUUUUCCAGGCAAAUCCGGAAAAUCAAGGCUGAGGCGUGAUGACGAGGCACUACGGUGCUGAAGCAACAAAUGCCCUGCUUCCAGGAAAAGCCUCUAAGCAUCAGGUAACAUCAAAUCGUACCCCAAACCGACACAGGUGGUCAGGUAGAGAAUACCAAGGCGCUUGAGAGAACUCGGGUGAAGGAACUAGGCAAAAUGGUGCCGUAACUUCGGGAGAAGGCACGCUGAUAUGUAGGUGAAGUCCCUUGCGGAUGGAGCUGAAAUCAGUCGAAGAUACCAGCUGGCUGCAACUGUUUAUUAAAAACACAGCACUGUGCAAACACGAAAGUGGACGUAUACGGUGUGACGCCUGCCCGGUGCCGGAAGGUUAAUUGAUGGGGUCAGCGCAAGCGAAGCUCUUGAUCGAAGCCCCGGUAAACGGCGGCCGUAACUAUAACGGUCCUAAGGUAGCGAAAUUCCUUGUCGGGUAAGUUCCGACCUGCACGAAUGGCGUAAUGAUGGCCAGGCUGUCUCCACCCGAGACUCAGUGAAAUUGAACUCGCUGUGAAGAUGCAGUGUACCCGCGGCAAGACGGAAAGACCCCGUGAACCUUUACUAUAGCUUGACACUGAACAUUGAGCCUUGAUGUGUAGGAUAGGUGGGAGGCUUUGAAGUGUGGACGCCAGUCUGCAUGGAGCCGGCCUUGAAAUACCACCCUUUAAUGUUUGAUGUUCUAACGUGGACCCGUGAUCCGGGUUGCGGACAGUGUCUGGUGGGUAGUUUGACUGGGGCGGUCUCCUCCUAAAGAGUAACGGAGGAGCACGAAGGUUGGCUAAUCCUGGUCGGACAUCAGGAGGUUAGUGCAAUGGCAUAAGCCAGCUUGACUGCGAGCGUGACGGCGCGAGCAGGUGCGAAAGCAGGUCAUAGUGAUCCGGUGGUUCUGAAUGGAAGGGCCAUCGCUCAACGGAUAAAAGGUACUCCGGGGAUAACAGGCUGAUACCGCCCAAGAGUUCAUAUCGACGGCGGUGUUUGGCACCUCGAUGUCGGCUCAUCACAUCCUGGGGCUGAAGUAGGUCCCAAGGGUAUGGCUGUUCGCCAUUUAAAGUGGUACGCGAGCUGGGUUUAGAACGUCGUGAGACAGUUCGGUCCCUAUCUGCCGUGGGCGCUGGAGAACUGAGGGGGGCUGCUCCUAGUACGAGAGGACCGGAGUGGACGCAUCACUGGUGUUCGGGUUGUCAUGCCAAUGGCACUGCCCGGUAGCUAAAUGCGGAAGAGAUAAGUGCUGAAAGCAUCUAAGCACGAAACUUGCCCCGAGAUGAGUUCUCCCUGACCCUUUAAGGGUCCUGAAGGAACGUUGAAGACGACGACGUUGAUAGGCCGGGUGUGUAAGCGCAGCGAUGCGUUGAGCUAACCGGUACUAAUGAACCGUGAGGCUUAACCUU
rnacentral:rRNA from 1 species